rnacentral:lncRNA from 10 species
GGGGACUCAGAUAUCUUUCUAACUGUUACAUUCUGAAUUUAUUUCGAAUAAAAAGAGAUUUUCUUACUUUUUGAGUGCCAUGUCAGGAGGCUACAUUUUUUUUUAACCUAAAAGGAAGAUAUGAACUUUCCAAAGACAAGUUUUUUGCUCCAUAGACUGAAGGGAGCAUUUUUGCUGUUUCACUGGAACUGCUUCGCUGGAUGUCUUGCCCCCUCCCGCUUGUACCUUGGUGGGAUGAUUAUGCUCCUCGGUGUGUACCAGGGAUGUUCAUGUGUAGCACUUUACAGGAUGACUUAGGAAACAAAUCAGAUGAAGCAUCAGCGCUGAUAGCCAACUCUGUGUUUCUUGAACACUGAAAAGAACAACUUUUUUCUUUUCUUGAAAGUCAGUUUCUAUAAAAUCAUUCAGAUUUCUCUCAAGUUCUAGACUGUGUUGCAGAGAGCUCCUUAUAGACAAAGAGUGGUUCAAAUUCUCUUCAGGCAAGAGGAACUAAGGGAAUGAAGAAUGUGUCAUUCAGUAUCCUCACUGUUGUUUUCAGAGGUGGUUCUGAUUGCUAUUCAAGAAAGAAGAAAACCUUAGAUCACUCCAGCAAUGGGGUCAGCUGAGGAAGACUAUUUCCUGAAACAAAGCAUGAAGCCUGGGAUAGCUCAGUAAAUACUGCUCACCCUAAGUAAUGGAUGGAGUUGGGAAGCUGUCCGGCAGACUUUGGUAGACUCUGGAAAUUUGAAAAUCGGACAGAACAAUGAAAGCCAACGUGAGAACCCUUUCAUGGGGACUUUAAAUGCAGAUGGAGAACAUGCUGAUUUUGUUGGUCAUUAAUAGUCAUCUGAAUUUCAAAAUGACCAUUUUCAUUUUUUUCUACUGAUGUGAAACAGUUUCACUCAGUCCUCAGAGAGCAAUUAACCAGACUUUUUGUUGGUAUCCAACAACUGUGCUUGUUGUUUUGUCUUAAGAAAAGGAGGCUGGGAGAUGACUUAGCCUUUCAGGACAAUAAGAAAUUUACAGUUUAAAAAGUGACAGAAAUAGGGUUAGACAUAAGUUUUUAAAUGCCAGGACAUCACAAUGAGAACUGGCAAAAACCAUGAUAUGGAGGAAUGGGUGGCAUCUGCUCUGAAGAUCUGACAACUACUAUCUGUUUUAUCCUACAAGGAAAUGGAGGACAAUUUGAUUCUUAAAGUUCCUUCCCACUUGGUGCUUCAAAUAACACUGCCAUGACUCAUAACCAUUUGGAUAUUUAAAUUGGAAUUGUCUUUUGAGCCAAUAAAAGUUAUGGAAGAAAUCUGCCUCAUAGUCAUAACCUGAGAUUUUUUUCACCCCAACUGAAAUUUCCCAGUUUAAUUAUUCACUUUAUUCAUUAGAAUUUUUAAUUUUUUUUUUUGAGGCAGAGUUUCACUCUUGUCGCCCAGGCUGGAGUGCAGUGAUGUGAUCUCUGCUCAC